UGCGUCCGAUUAGCUUGUUGGGGGGGUAACGGCCCACCAAGGCGACGAUGGCUAGGGGAGCUGAGAGGCUGGUCCCCCACACGGGCACUGAGAUACGGGCCCGACUCCUACGGGAGGCAGCAGUAGGGAAUAUUGGGCAAUGGCCGAGAGGCUGACCCAGCCAUGCCGCGUGCAGGAUGAAGGCUUUCUGAGUCGUAAACUGCUUUUGCCAGGGAAGAAUAAGGUGCGUGCGCGCUCCGACGACGGUACCUGGUGAAUAAGCACCGGCUAACUCCGUGCCAGCAGCCGCGGUAAUACGGAGGGUGCAAGCGUUGUCCGGAUUUAUUGGGUUUAAAGGGUGCGUAGGCGGUUCUUUAAGUCCGGGGUGAAAGCCCGUUGCUCAACAACGGAACUGCCCUGGAAAC
rnacentral:rRNA from 1 species